GGGAUAACUACUGGAAACGGUAGCUAAUACCGCAUAACGUCGCAAGACCAAAGAGGGGGACCUUCGGGCCUCUUGCCAUCGGAUGUGCCCAGAUGGGAUUAGCUAGUAGGUGGGGUAACGGCUCACCUAGGCGACGAUCCCUAGCUGGUCUGAGAGGAUGACCAGCCACACUGGAACUGAGACACGGUCCAG
rnacentral:rRNA from 1 species